AUAGACUAAAUAUGAAAGACUAGUAUUUAUUACGUGUGUUUAAAGAGAGUUAGCGGUUGGUGUGAGCUAAUAACAACAAAUAAAGAAUCCACUUUCUAUGAUUAUCUAACGAACUCAUAAGAACUAAGUUAGAUCGGCAAAAUAGCAAACCGUUAAUAAUUGCUUAUAGAGACAAUUAUUUUGUCUAAAAUUUGGGUGGUACCGCGAAUUCAAUCUCUCGCCCCAGAA
rnacentral:ncRNA from 1 species